GUUCUUGUAGUUGAAAUACAACGGUGGUUUUUCAAGUCACUAGUCCUGGUUAAAGACCUGGUAAGAAUC
rnacentral:tRNA from 1 species